rnacentral:rRNA from 1 species
GACGAACGCUGGCGGCGUGCUUAACACAUGCAAGUCGAACGGAAAGGCCCGCUUUUGUGGGGUGCUCGAGUGGCGAACGGGUGAGUAACACGUGAGUAACCUGCCCUUGACUUUGGGAUAACUUCAGGAAACUGGGGCUAAUACCGGAUAGGAGCUCCUGCUGCAUGGUGGGGGUUGGAAAGUUUCGGCGGUUGGGGAUGGACUCGCGGCUUAUCAGCUUGUUGGUGGGGUAGUGGCUUACCAAGGCUUUGACGGGUAGCCGGCCUGAGAGGGUGGCCGGCCACAUUGGGACUGAGAUACGGCCCAGACUCCUACGGGAGGCAGCAGUGGGGAAUAUUGCACAAUGGGCGGAAGCCUGAUGCAGCAACGCCGCGUGCGGGAUGACGGCCUUCGGGUUGUAAACCGCUUUCGCCUGUGACGAAGCGUGAGUGACGGUAAUGGGUAAAGAAGCACCGGCUAACUACGUG